UACGUAGGGUGCGAGCGUUAAUCGGAUUUACUGGGCGUAAAGCGUGCGCAGGCGGCCCGUUAAGACAGGUGUGAAAUCCCUGGGCUCAACCUAGGAAUUGCGCUUGUGACUGGCGGGCUCGAGUACGGUAGAGGGGGGUGGAAUUCCUGGUGUAGCAGUGAAAUGCGUAGAGAUCAGGAGGAACACCGAUGGCGAAGGCAGCCCCCUGGGCCGGUACUGACGCUGAUGCACGAAAGCGUGGGGAGCAAACAGG
rnacentral:rRNA from 1 species